rnacentral:tRNA from 1 species
GGGGCUGUAGCUCAGUCGGUUAGAGCUGGGAACUCAUAAUUCCGAUUGGCGUCUUUCGCCAAGUCCCGCCA